AUGAGAUUUGGGUGGAGACACAGCAAAACAGUAUGAAUAGCUGACAGUUGUGAAAGAAAUGAAUGGUCGAAUGAAGAGCAAAAGCAAGGAGACGGGGAAAGGCAAUGCAGCAGUCAAGAGCAAGAAAUGAAUGUGAACAACUUCGAUGCCUACUGAUUAAUGCUGAAAAACAACUCAAAUGAACCAAUGAACCAAAAGAUAAGCCAAAUCCAGAAACAGCUGUGGCUCAACCCCCAGCAAUGGACUGGAAAUCCAUGAGACAGCUCCGCAGAUAGAGAAUGAAAAGUCUGUUCUUACAUACGUUAUACUCAGAGUUAAGAAUGAAGGCCCGGCGCAGUGGCUCACACCAAAAAUCCCAGCACUUUGGGAGGCCAAGGCAGGUGGAUCACAUGAGGUCAGGAGUUCAAGACCAUCCUGGCCAACAUGGUGAAACUCUGUCUCUACUAAAAAUACAAAAAUUAGCUGGGCAUGGUGAUGUGCACCUGUAAUCCAAGCUACUCGGGAGGCUGAGGCAGAAGAAUCGCUUGAACCUGGGUGGCAGAGGUUGCAGUAAGCAGAGAUCGCACCAUUGCACUUCAGCCUGGGCAACAGAGUGAGACUGUCUCAAGAAUAAAUUAAAUAAAUAAAUAAGAAUGGAGGUAUAUGUGUGCGUGUUGGGGAAGAGGGAAUCUAGCUAUAAAAGCCCUAUAGCUAAUCUUUAUACUAAUUAACCAUUAAUAUUUACUAAUACUUAGAACUACAGUUACUAUUUACAUAGUAUACAGCCAUAGCUUAUUAUUAAAAUAUUUAAAUAAUUUCAUAGUUGAUUAUAAAUAGCAUCACCCCUCUUCCUCACCCAAUGCCUCUCUGGAAACUCCCCACAGCCCAGCAGCUAAUCGGUUAAUGCUGGCACUGAAGUGUUCUCCAGAACCUGCUCCAGCACAAUCUUGACCUCCAAUCUACAAAGAAGGAGCUUCCUCUGCCCUUACUGGUUGUUACAUGUUUUUCAAGUUCAUCCCUGCUUGGUAUGUUCCCAGCACUGCCCUCUCAAUUCUUUAUGCUACAUUAUCUCACAGCAACCUGGAAACAUACACUAUGAGUAUUUCCUUUUGCCUAUAAAGAAACUGUGGCUCAGAGCAGCUAGAAGGAGGCAGAGUUCUUAAUCACCACUGCUCCCUAUUUUCCAGCUGUGCCCCCUGAAAUUGGUAUGUGAGAAUUCUUUUAUUCUCAGAAGAGCAGCCAAGAAGAGUUGAGAGGCUACAGCCCCAGAGUGCUGGGAAGGCUGGGUGUUCUCAGGCCUCUC
rnacentral:lncRNA from 10 species